rnacentral:rRNA from 1 species
ACGGGCCCCGCACAAGCGGCGGAGCAUGCGGAUUAAUUCGAUGCAACGCGAAGAACCUUACCUGGGUUUGACAUAUACCGGAACAUCUAGAGAUUAGGUGCCCCUUUUGGUCGGUAUACAGGUGGUGCAUGGCUGUCGUCAGCUCGUGUCGUGAGAUGUUGGUUGAGUCCCGCAACGAGCGCAACCCUCGUCCUAUGUUGCCAGCGGAUAAUGCCGGGGACUCAUAGGAGACCGCCGGGGUCAACUCGGAGGAAGGUGGGAUGACGUCAAGUCAUCAUGCCCCUUAUGUCCAGGGCUUCACGCAUGCUACAAUGGCCGGUACAAAGAGCUGCGAACCUGCAAGGGUGAGCGAAUCUCAAAAAGCCGGUCUCAGUUCGGAUUGGGGUCUGCAACUCGACCCCAUGAAGUCGGAGUCGCUAGUAAUCGCAGAUCAGCAACGCUGCGGCGAAUACGUUCCCGGGGCUU